UUUUCCUACGGGGCGCAGCAGUGGGGAAUAUUGGGCAAUGGACGCAAGUCUGACCCAGCAACGCCGCGUGAAGGAAGAAGGCUUUCGGGUUGUAAACUUCUUUUAAGGGGGAAGAGCAGAAGACGGUACCCCUUGAAUAAGCCACGGCUAACUACGUGCCAGCAGCCACGGUAAUACGUAGGUGGCAAGCGUUGUCCGGAUUUACUGGGUGUAAAGGGCGUGCAGCCGGGAAGACAAGUCAGAUGUGAAAUCCCGCGGCUCAACCGCGGAACUGCAUUUGAAACUGUUUUUCUUGAGUAUCGGAG
rnacentral:rRNA from 1 species